rfam:Ciona savignyi cont_33761, whole genome shotgun sequence.
AUAAGCCAAUGGUGCGAAGCUACCAUCUGAGGGAUUAUGACUGAACGCCUCUAAGUCAGAAUCCCGCCUGGAAAGCGACGAUGCAUUCGUGCCUCGGCCUCGAGAGGCGUAGCUAGACGGCCGCGUGGCCGUGGAAAGAGCCCGAUUCCGACCCGAGAGGCCGCGGCAAGAGGCGGCCUCGAAGUCGGUGGAUCCUCCUGCUCGAAAGGCGGGGUGCUAAACCAUUCGCAGACGACCUAGUUGAAGAUCGGGGUGUCGUGAUCACUAGAGCAGUACAUCUCACUGCGAUUUGUUGAGAGUAAGCCUCAAGAUCUGUCGGUUUGU